rnacentral:rRNA from 1 species
AACUUGGGAAAUUGCAUUCGAUACUGGUUGGCUAGAGUAUGGGAGAGGAUGGUAGAAUUUCCAGGUGUAGCGGUGAAAUGCGUAGAGAUCUGGAGGAAUACCGAUGGCGAAGGCAGCCAUCUGGCCUAAUACUGACACUGAGGUGCGAAAGCAUGGGGAGCAAACAGGGAUUAGAUACCCUGGGUUAGUCCAUGCCGUAAACGAUGUCUACUAGCCGUUGGGGCCUUUGAGUGCCCGCUUUAGUGGCGCAGCUAACGCGAUAAGUUAAGAGCGCCUGGGGGAGUACGGUCGCAAGACUAAAACUCAAAUGAAUUGACGGGGGCCGCGCACAAGCGGUGGAGCAUGCUGGUUUAACAUUCGAUGCAACGCGAAAAGAACCUUACCUGGUCUUGACAUAGUAAGAACUUUCCAGAGAUGGAUUGGUGCCUUCGGGAACUUACAUACAGGUGCUGCAUGGCUGUCGUCAGCUCGUGUCGUGAAGAUGUUGGGCCUUAAGUCCCGCAACGAGCGCAACCCUUUUCCUUAUUUGCACAGCGGGUUAAGCCGGGAACUUUAAGGAUACUGCCAGUGACAAACUGGAGGAAGGCGGGGACGACGUCAAGUCAUCAUGGCCCUUACGACCAGGGCUACACACGUGCUACAAUGGUCGGUACAAAGGGUUGCUACCUCGCGUAGAGGAUGCUAAUCUCAAAAAGCCGAUCGUAGUCCGGAUUGGAGUCUGCAACUCGCACUCCAUGAAGUCGGAAUCGCUAGAUAAUCGCGGAUCAGAAUGCCGCGGUGAAUACGUUCCCGGGCCUUGUACACACCGCCCGUCACACCAUGGGAGUUUGUUGCACCAGAAGUAGGUAGUCUAACCGCAAGGAGGACGCUU